rnacentral:lncRNA from 12 species
CCGCCGAGCCACACAGGGAUCCACACUGGCUGAUGUUUUGACCCCAAUCUUUUCCCCUAAGAUCUCCUACCAGUGCCUCUCUAUAGUGGACACAACAGGAAACCGAAGAACAAGGGUGUUUGAGGGAAGUAAUCUGUCAAAGUCAGUUUCCUGGAGCAAAAGGAAGGACAGAGAAUGACUCUGGAGGGACAAAGGGAACUCCUUGCCUCUUUCAGUUCUUAAUUUUCUUUAAGAAGCAUCAGAUUCUAAUGACUGAAGUGUUCACAUGACCCAAGCAUGAGGUGGUCAGGCCACAGCAGCAAAGAGCAAAAAGAUAUAAGGACAAGGUGCCAUCUGACAUAAAUCCCACUUCUAGCAGUUAUGAAAUAUACCUUCCAUUGCUGAAAACAGAGGCCGGGGCCAUCUCUAAAUUGUAAAUAGCAAUUCGACGUGGAUGUCCCUGCACACUGAAAUAAACUUUCUCUUGUGCUUUAAAGUUGCAGAAACCCUCAGGGAAAUUGCGAAGAAGUAACGUUUUAGGCUGAGUCACCUGUCAGUCUCCAGGCAGAUACCUUCUUCUGCAAGUUGCCACAAAGCAGUGGCAUUGCUUUUAUGCACACAUAUAUAGAGAAGCACAAAAAUACAUAAACAUAAAAAUAGUGCCGUGGUCUAUUAGAAAUGCAGCUCCUCUGCACUGUUAUCUGCACUGUUCGUCUGCAGCAGCACGCACACCACCACACCACGGAGAGAACACUGUGAAACCAGAGUGGGCGAGCGGCCGGAGAUCUUUAGAUUUGAUGCAAUGGCUGGGACCUGCCCAGGAAUGCACUACUUCCUCCAGAAAAAAUUGCCUCAGGAAGAGGAGAGCGGCUUCAUUUACAUAGAGAUCUACAACUGAAAAGCAUAUUCAGGUAUUUCAAAAUAUUUAUCUCAAAAGAUGCAAAGAUUAAUUUUGGCAUAUUUUUCCCAAUAUUCCUCCACGUAAACAGAACCACACUUGAUAACUAAUGAGCUCUAAUUCAUCAACUGCAGAAGAAUUGGGCCAAACAACAGUGAAAACAAAGGGAAAUAGUAGUGACUGCCUUUAUAGUGCUUGAUAGUUUGCACGAUGUUUUUUUAAUACUUGCC